GCCAGCCAGCAACACCAACCAAAAUCAAAGAGCCGACAAAUCCUCACAAAUCCAAUUAAAAAAUAAUUAAAAUUCUCUAACCAGAUAAUCAUCGACAUCACUCCCCAGAAAAAUAAAAAAAAAAACACAUACAGAGAAGAAAAACAAUGGCGAAGAGCACUGAUAAACACCGAUUCUUAACGUUGAAAGUCACUGAACCAGCAAAGAAGAGAACGAAAACGAGGGGAAAAAUCAGCCAAACUGAGUCAAAAGGCAGAAGAACUCUUAUCGCGCCCAACAACCUCAAGCAAAAAUCUCCAAAUUUUCCACUCGUCGGAAACAAAAUCGCUCAAACCAGUCAAGUGGGAAAUCUAAAGGUUACCAUUCACACGCAAGGGAGCCGUACAGAAAGAGAAAGAAAGAGAGCAAAACUGCCACUACAGCUAAUCAUGCCGAAGACUAUUCCAAAAUAUAGAUGUUUCUGUCCAUAUGUGAGGGAGCCGAAGCAAUUAUUUGUUUAGUCUCUCUCUCUGCUUUCGUGUGGACUGGCUUAAUUUUUAAGUGUUUCUGUUUGUGUCGUACAGAAUCUGGGAAGUAUUUCUCGAGGAGCCCCACAAACACACUGUUGUUCUUUACUUAAAAAUAUAUAAAAAUGAAAACGUUAUUCCGAUCGAAAAGUUAGGCACUUGUGCUUUUUAAGAUUUAAUAGUGCGUGAUAUACAGUCAAGCAAUGGGUAUUUAUAACCCCUCAAUUUGCCAACUUUCCCUACCAUACAAUAUCCACAAUCCCUCCAACUCUUUGCUUCUGCUAAACUCCUGCAUUUUUGCCUGAAUUAGUUGAGUUAUGGACGACUACAACCUAUACCCGCCUGCCCAAGACUUCGCCACCGGAGGCCAAUCCUUGGCUGUUAAAGGAGGAGUUGCUGGGGGCCUCCUCUUUCUGCUUCUUGCUUUCAUAAUUUAUGUGUUCCUCAAGGGCCGUGAUUGCUCCAUGAAUUGCGAUAUGAAAGUUGGUGAUGCUUCCAGCAGGCCGGUGGAAGAAGCCUGAAAUGCACAGACAGUUGUGUGCGUGUGUUCCUUUCAAGGAUGCAACUUAUGAAGUUGUGCUUCUUUAAUUGUCUGUCAUGAUCUUUUGUUUUUUAUAGCAGCAUGGCUGCAUAGACAGUUGGGACUUGACAGUUUGCUGUAGAUUCUUCAAACUUGUAUUUUAUGGUUGCAAUAAAAUAUUUAUAUUUCUCUUAAUAGAUUGAUUUUAUUUUAUUUAUUUAUAUUUGAAA